rnacentral:rRNA from 1 species
AUUGAACGCUGGCGGCAGGCCUAACACAUGCAAGUCGAACGGUAACAGGAAGAAGCUUGCUUCUUUGCUGACGAGUGGCGGACGGGUGAGUAAUGUCUGGGAAACUGCCUGAUGGAGGGGGAUAACUACUGGAAACGGUAGCUAAUACCGCAUAACGUCGCAAGACCAAAAAGGGGGACCUUCGGGCCUCUUGCCAUCGGAUGUGCCCAGAUGGGAUUAGCUAGUAGGUGGGGUAACGGCUCACCUAGGCGACGAUCCCUAGCUGGUCUGAGAGGAUGACCAGCCACACUGGAACUUAGACACGGUCCAGACUCCUACGGGAGGCAGCAGUGGGGAAUAUUGCACAAUGGGCGCAAGCCUGAUGCAGCCAUGCCGCGUGUAUGAAGAAGGCCUUCGGGUUGUAAAGUACUUUCAGCGGGGAGGAAGGGAGUAAAGUUAAUACCUUUGCUCAUUGACGUUACCCGCAGAAGAAGCACCGGCUAACUCCGUG